AUCAUCUUCAGUAGACUGACAUUUGCAGAAGGACUUUAAAUCAGAGUUACAAGAGGAAAGUAAGAAAUGAGUAGAAAUGAAAGACCAAUAAGAAGAUGAAUACAUUUAACAUCCUAAGAACUGUUAAGUCACUGCUUCCAGUCAUUAAUUUGGUGCAAGUAGAACCAGAAUGUCCAUGAAGCUCCAGAGGGACCCUGGUGUUUCUGCGGUGAAAAAGUAACAUCAGAAUGCAGUCAAGAAAACAAAAGUUACUAAUGAGGAAGAAUAGAUAAGUAACCUUGGCUUUGAAAUUGCACUACUGCUAGCUUUAUUACGGACUUCCACGAAUGAGAGUAAUGAGAUUGGGAAAAGAGGAGCCCAGAGAAGGAGUGUCUGCCUUUAGAGCGAUGCCUUGUAUCUCCUCUGUGUGUGGCUGUGCUAGAGGCAAGAGGAGGUGAUCCUGUGUAAUGGGGGAAUCAAGGCAUCCUGACAGAUAGCCAGCCAGCUGGAGGAGGAGGAGCCACUCCCAUGCAGCAUAUUCCACUGUCAAACAUCUCUUACUCUCAGGAAUUUUUUUCUCAAUGUUUAGAUGAAAGCUCUUUUCUUAUAGCCUGAUCUAACACCAAACAACUUAUAAGGAAAAUCAGGUAAAUUUUUGAAUUCUGGGAGUUGUUCAUGGAUGGAUCGUCACAUUUUCUUAUUUAGAAUCCCAACAAUGAAUACCUUGUCCCAGUCAGUCCAGACUACAUUUCCUGCACUAUAUUCUUUCUGAAAUGAGUCCAAAAAUUAAAAUAAGAAUGUAAGGGAAGAGAGGGGACAGAUGGCAUGAUUUAAAGACUGACAGAUCAUGUUCAGCAAACAAAUACGCAAGUCAGGCUAGGUCCUCCUCCAUGUAAAAAUAAAUGUAACCAGUGCUAUUUUUGUUUGUAGUGCAUUGAGGAAAAAAGAGGGAGUAUCCUGAAAAGACAGCCCUACAGUAAUCUAGGACCUCAUCAGACGGAAGUCCUCAAGCCGGGGGAAAGUGGGAGCAUCUGUGGGACAGCUGGACAAAUCCAAUGGGCAGCGUGGGAACCCGUCACCCUGCACCCCACAUUGCCCACAUUGCCAUCCCAUGGGAGAAAGCAUCACUGCCCAGCUUCCCUCCAUACUUUUCCCGAUUUACUGGAUGAGAACACGAAAGCCUCCAUGUUCUCAGGACUCCCUCCUACAACACUUACAGGAUGAAGCCAGGGCAGAGCCCCACCAGAAGUAGCCCUGUGGCAUGUUGUGGGCUCUGGUGGACUCAGUCCUGCAAGUGUCAUAGGACAGGGUCAAAGACUAAUGUAAUGAGGUCCCUAGAGAGGAAAUGUGCAACGAUGCAGCAUGAAACAGUAGAGAAGCAGAAACACAAGUAUAUUUGGACCAUUUGGA